AUUGAACGCUGGCGGCAUGCCUUACACAUGCCAGUCGAACGGUAACAGGUCUUCGGAUGCUGACGAGUGGCGCACGGGUGAGUAAUACAUCGGAACGUGCCCGAUCGUGGGGGAUAACGGAGCGAAAGCUUUGCUAAUACCGCAUACGAUCUACGGAUGAAAGCAGGGGACCGCAAGGCCUUGCGCGGACGGAGCGGCCGAUGGCAGAUUAGGUAGUUGGUGGGAUAAAAGCUUACCAAGCCGACGAUCUGUAGCUGGUCUGAGAGGACGACCAGCCACACUGGGACUGAGACACGGCCCAGACUCCUACGGGAGGCAGCAGUGGGGAAUUUUGGACAAUGGGCGAAAGCCUGAUCCAGCCAUGCCGCGUGCAGGAUGAAGGCCUUCGGGUUGUAAACUGCUUUUGUACGGAACGAAAAGACUCUUUCUAAUAAAGAGGGUCCAUGACGGUACCGUAAGAAUAAGCACCGGCUAACUACGUG
rnacentral:rRNA from 1 species